AUGGGGCAGCUGACGGUGUGCAUGCCGGCGAUCACCACCGGUGCCAAGCCGAGCGGCGCGUGCUGCUCCAACCUGCGCGCGCAGCAGGGGUGCUUCUGCCAGUACGCCAAGGACCCCUCCCUCGGCCGCUACAUCACCAGUCCCCAUGCGCGCGAGACCCUCGUCUCCUGCGGCCUCGCCGUCCCGCACUGCUAG
rnacentral:rRNA from 1 species